CACCACCACCAACACCUUAUCAUCCUGCUCCGAUUUAUAAAUCUCCACCACCACCAAACCCAGUUUACAAGUCGCCACCACCACCGAAGAAGCCAUACUAUCCUCCACACACUCCAGUUUACAAGUCACCACCAACAACAACACCAGUCUACAAGUCUCCACCUCCACCAACUCCAGUUUACAAGUCACCCCCACCACACAAGAAGUCAUACUAUCCUUCACACACACCAAUUUACAAGUCAACACCACCACCGCCACCCAAGAAGUCAUACUAUCCUCCACACACCCCAGUUUACAAGUCUCCACCACCACCAACUCCAGUUUACAAGUCUCCACCACCACCCAAAAAGCCAUACUACCCUCCACACACCCCAGUUCAUAAGUCUCCACCACCAAUUCCGGUGUACAAGUCGCCGCCACCACCUAAGAGGUCAUACCAUCCUACACCAGUUUACAAGUCACCACCACCACCACCAACGAAGCCAUACCAUCCUACACCAGUUUACAAGUCACCAACAACAACAACAAAGCCAUACCAUCCUUCACCAGCACCAUACCAUCCUGCACCAGUUGACAAGUUUCCACCACCAUCAAAUC
rnacentral:lncRNA from 1 species